rnacentral:rRNA from 1 species
GGUUGCGAUCAUACCAGCACUAAUGCACCGGAUCCCAUCAGAACUCCGCAGCUAAGCGUGCUUGGGCGAGAGCAGUACUAGGAUGGGUGACCCCCUGGGAAGUCCUCGUGUUGCAACCCC